rnacentral:rRNA from 1 species
UACAGAGGUCUCAAGCGUUGUUCGGAAUUACUGGGCGUAAAGGGUGCGCAGGCCGCGCGGGCAGUCAAAUGUGAAAUCCUGGGGCUCAACCUCAGAAUUGCGCUUGAUACUUCCGCGCUAGAACUUUGGAGAGGGAUCUGGAAUUCUCGGUGUAGCAGUGAAAUGCGUGGAUAUCGAGAAGAACACUCAGGGCGUAGGCAAGAUCCUGGACAAAUGUUGACGCUCAUGCACGAAGGCUAGGGUAGCAAACGGG